CCUACGGGGGGCAGCAGUGAGGAAUAUUGGUCAAUGGACGAGAGUCUGAACCAGCCAAGUAGCGUGAAGGAUGACUGCCCUAUGGGUUGUAAACUUCUUUUAUAUGGGAAUAAUAUGUUCCACGUGUGGGCUUUUGUAUGUACCAUAUGAAUAAGGAUCGGCUAACUCCGGGCCAGCAGCCGCGGGAAAACGGAGGAUUCGAGCGUUAUCCGGAUUUAUUGGGUUUAAAGGGAGCGUAGGUGGAUUGUUAAGUCAGUCGUGAAAGUUUGCGGCUCAAACGUAAAAUUGCAGUUGAAACUGGCAGUCUUGAGUACAGUAGAGGUGGGCGGAAUGCGUGGUGUAGCGGUGAAAUGCUUAGAUAUCACGAAGAACUCCGAUUGCGAAGGCAGCUCACUGGACUGCAACUGACACUGAGGCUCGAAAGUGUGGGUAUCAAACAGGAUUAGAUACCCUUGUAGUC
rnacentral:rRNA from 1 species